UCUCUUUUUUUCCUUCCCUGGAGGAAGCAGACAAUGCACGGCACAGGGACCUCUACAGGACACCCAGCUCUGGUCUGCAACUUUUGUAAGAUGUUUCUAAGCCUGAAGAAAGAGAAAUGCUUCCCAGACGUGUGGAGGAAAGGAUGAAAACAGGGCUGAGAGAAGACAGGAGAAAAAACAAGUGCUUCUCUACUAUCCUCCCCUUCACUGACACAAUAGUCAUGUACACGGCACUAUGCCAGGCACUGCGGGAGGCAAAAGUAUAGGCUACAGAAUUCCUAAGGACAAUCUGGCAGGGGAGAUGAGAAACAUCUCAAGUAAACUAACACAAGAAUAUUGAAAAACAGCAUGACCCAGUGGAAAAAGCAACAGGCUUAAGAGUCAGAAGACCUAAGUUUAAAAACCCAGCUCUGCCACUUAAUAGUUGUGUUAUUGGGCACUCUUACUCUGUGUCUCAGUGUCCUUAUCUACGAAAUAAAGGGGUUGGACUAGAUGA